AACUAACAAGUUCUUUUUCUUUACUUCCCUUCUAUUCUAUUCACAGAAGUCAUUGCCUGCAAACAGCCUACCACAGUCUUGGGAAUGAACUCUGACAAACUAACCAUCAUAACAGUUGAUGCUUCCCAUUGAGGAUGGAAGAAUGGGGCUCCAAACUUUGUUAUACUGUUCUUGAAAGGUAUUUCAUCAGGAGAGAAAUGGCACCCCCUCCAGCUAUAGUUUCCACCUUGAUGUUCUUUUCUUACUUGGUAAUUGGCUUUUGUUUAUUAAUUCUAUGUAUUUUCCUAUUGUUUCUAAAAUUUUUUAGUCCAUUCCUUUGGGUUUUCUCUGUUUACAGGUUUAUGAUAAAAAAUUAAUUCCAAGGGGCACCUGACUUGCUCAGUCAGUGGAGCGUGUGACUCUUCAUCUUGGGACUGUGGGUUUGAGCCCCACGUUGGGUAUAGAGAUCAUUUAAAGGUAAAAUCUUAAAAAAGAAAGAAAGUGACAUUAAUUCCAAAUACAGUUCGUUAUU
rnacentral:tRNA from 1 species